UAAAAAAUACACGACUCUGUCAUAUAGAGCCCCAGAAAUGAUCAACCUUUAUGGAGGGAAACCGAUCACCACCAAGGCUGAUAUCUGGGCCCUGGGAUGUUUGCUGUAUAAACUUUGUUUCUUCGCUCUUCCUUUUGGUGAGAGUCAGGUUGCUAUCUGUGACGGCAGCUUCACCAUCCCAGAUAAUUCUCGCUACUCCCAUAACGUUCAUUGUUUGAUUAGGUUCAUGCUUGAACCAGACCCCGAGCACAGACCUGACAUAUUUCAAGUCUCCUACUUUGCAUUUAAAUUUGCCAAAAAGGAUUGUCCGGUCUCCAACAUCAAUAAUUCCAUUCUUCCAUCAACUCUUCCAGAACCGAUGACUGCUACCGAAGCCGCUGCUAGGAAAAGCCAGAUGAAAGCCAGAGGAGCACUGAGACCUGGAAAUGGGUCUGACAUCUUAAUGGUUCAGGGACCCACUCAGCAGCCACCACAGCAGCAUAGAGUUCUCCAGCAAUUACAGCAGGGAGAUUGGAGAUUACAGCAGCUUCAUUUGCAUCGUCAUCCCCAGCAGCAGCAGCAGCAGCAGCAGCAGCAGCAGCAGCAGCAACAGCAGCAACAGCAGCAGCAGCAACUACUUCAAAACGCUUAUUUGCAGCAGUAUCAACAUGCAAUGCACCAGCAACAAAUACUUCAACAACAGUUUUUAAUGCACUCAGUGUAUCAGCCACAACCUCUUGCAUCUCAGUAUCCGACCAUGAUGCAGCAGUAUCAGCAGGCUCUCUUGCAGCAGCAGAUGCUAGCUCACCAUCAGCAGCCAGCGCAGCAGGUGUCACCUGAGUAUCUUACCUCUCCUCAAGAGUUCUCACCAGCCUUAGCUCCCUACGGCUCUUCACUUCCAGCUCAGGUUGGAACCAUAGUGGACUCCUCUUAUGGUGCCACCAGGUCAGUCGCUGAGAAAGAGGCAGUUGCAAAUUUCACAAAUCAGAAGACCAUCAGUCACCCCCCUGACAUGUCAGGGUGGAAUCCUUUUGGAGAAGACAAUUUUUCCAAGUUAACAGAAGAGGAACUGUUGGACAGAGAAUUUGACCUCCUAAGAUCAAGUAAGGGACACUUGAAGGCUUAUUUUGCUUCACAGUAGAGUGGCAGCUAUAUAGUUCAGCAAGGCCAGAGACUGCAUGAGGUGGUGUCAGAAACUCUGUCUGUGCAUCUGAGGGAAGACUCCAGGCCUCUUUCUUCCAUGUCCUAUUAGGCUAUGUCGUGUUGCACAUUAGAAAUUAGUUGCCGUGUAGUAGCUAAUGAGCCAAGAUUGCUGAUACCCUAACCAUCUAAAACUGAGCGUGCAGCUCACACCUUCAGAGCACAGAAGGCUGAUGCUGCACUGAGGAAACAUCAUCAGUCCCUUGCCUUACUAAUCUCUUUGUAGCUCUUUCUUGCUCACUCAGUAGGAGAUAGCGUGGGUCUGAGCCACCCUUGAACACGCCCGGAGAGAAGUGGGCUGCACUAUGGUAAUGUUUGUCAUGUCCUUUCUGUGAGUGGUGACAUAAAGGGGCUGCUUUGUCGUCCUGAUGUGGCCAAAGUUAAAUAAAUUUUUCCACUUUAGAUCUGAUAUCUCAAUGUUUUUACUUGGAAUCAUUACCUUUUCUCAAACUACCUAAUACAUACAUCAAGCCUUCCCAUAUAUAUUUUAGAAAUGAUCUUUUUUUGGAAGAAUUUGAGGAGAUUUGCAGAAUAAGAGCAAGAAAGGCUCAUUUUGUGGAAAAUGUAGUUGAUUUUCUAGUUUCUGAGGCUUGUAUGUAUGUGUAUGUAUGUGUAUAUAUGUAUGUAUAUGUAUACAUGUAUAUAUACAUAUAUACUUGCAUAUAUACAGUGUGUUUCUCUGUUUUGCAUAUAAAGAAAAGGGCCCAAUAAAUUACUCUGUUUCUAAUUUCUAUUUUAUUUAAGUAACUAGCUUUAGGAACACAUUUAGUAAAUGAAAUGCUUUGUCUGAAUUAGUAUGUAUUUUAUGUAAAGUUUACAGAUAGCUUACAUUUAUGUAAAGGAUUCCUGUAAGGCAUUCAUGUUUGGCAUCUAAUUUUGUAUUUUGCAUAUUGGUGAUUAAGUGUGAGCAUAAAAAAGAAUUUUAAGCCUCUGACAUACAUUUGUUAACUUUGAUAGAAAAAAACCUAUCUUACCUCAUAUUAAAAAAUGUUUUUAAAUCAC
rnacentral:lncRNA from 1 species